rnacentral:rRNA from 1 species
AUUGAACGCUGGCGGCAUGCCUCACACAUGCAAGUCGAACGGUAACGCGGGGGCAACCCUGGCGACGAGUGGCGAACGGGUGAGUAAUACAUCGGAACGUACCCAGUAGUGGGGGAUAGCUCGGCGAAAGCCGGAUUAAUACCGCAUACGACCUAUGGGUGAAAGCGGGGGAUCGCAAGACCUCGCGCUAUUGGAGCGGCCGAUGUCGGAUUAGCUAGUUGGUGAGGUAAAGGCUCACCAAGGCUACGAUCCGUAGCUGGUCUGAGAGGACGACCAGCCACACCGGGACUGAGACACGGCCCAGACUCCUACGGGAGGCAGCAGUGGGGAAUUUUGGACAAUGGGCGAAAGCCUGAUCCAGCCAUGCCGCGUGUGUGAAGAAGGCCUGGUGUAA